AAUCAUGGCAGAUUCUUUUUAUUUCUUCAAAAGCAUUUAACAGAUUUCGUACUGUAAUCACUAAUCAGACUGUGAUUGACAAGGUUUCCGGGUUUCUUUCUAUUCUUUGGAUCUGUUUUUUUUGUAUAUGUUGAAGCAAAAUCUAUGGCUUCCACUAGAUUAGUUGCUCCAACUCAAUCCUACGCUACUAGUAGUCUCGUUGUGGGAUACGCUCUCUGUUCAAGCUUACUUGCAGUCAUUAACAAAUACGCCAUUACCAAAUUCAAUUUCCCUGGCUUACUCACUGCACUACAGUACUUGACUUCAGUCUUAGGAGUUUGGGUUCUUGGGAAAUUAGGGUUUCUCUACCAUGAUCCAUUCUCAAAGGAGACGGCGAAGAAAUUUCUUCCUGCUGCCAUUGUUUUCUACCUCGCGAUCUUCACCAACACGAAUCUACUCCGUCACGCCAAUGUCGAUACCUUCGUAGUUUUUAGAUCCCUAACACCUCUUUUGGUGGCCAUUGCGGACACCACAUUUAGGAAACAACCAUGCCCUUCUAAGCUCACAUUUGUGUCUCUGUUGAUCAUAUUGGGUGGUGCUGUUGGGUAUGUGGCCACAGAUUCGGCAUUCACUCUCACUGCUUAUUCAUGGGCAUUUGUUUAUUUGGUGACAAUUACUACGGAGAUGGUUUACAUCAAACACAUGGUGACAAAUCUGGGAUUGAAUACUUGGGGUUUCGUGUUUUAUAAUAAUUUGUUGUCUUUGAUGAUGGCACCGAUCUUCUGGAUCUUGACUGGAGAGUAUAUUGAUGUGUUCUCUGCUGUGAGAUCAAAUUCUGGGAAUUGGGUUGAAUCAGGGGCAUUUGCUGCAGUAUCAUUGUCCUGCGUCUUUGGAUUGCUUAUUAGUUUCUUCGGAUUUGCAGCAAGGAAGGCAAUCUCAGCUACAGCAUUUACAGUAACUGGUGUAGUUAAUAAGUUUCUAACAGUAGCAAUCAAUGCCUUGAUUUGGGAUAAACAUGCUAGUCCCUUUGGCUUACUUUGCUUGAUUUUCACUAUUGUUGGGGGAGUUCUUUAUCAGCAAUCUGUUGCUGGAGGUGGUAUCUCUUCAGUAAAGUACAGUUCUUCUGCAUUUAAGCAGAUGGAUGGUGAUGGUGAUGGUGAUGAUGGCAAUGAUUCUGAAGAUAAGAAAAAUGGAAAAAUUGUAACUGGUAAAAUUUCCCCUGUAUGAGCUAUGUAAUCGUAAUCAUUUCUUUUGCUGAUUGGUGACAAAUGCUUAACACAUAGCAUCAGGAGCUGUAGUCCUUAGGUAAGUAAGCCUAGAGCGAAAGAUGUCUCACACCUUGACCUCCACACUUCAUGAGCAAUGCUGAAAAUAUCAGUUGAAAAGCAUACAGGUGUCUGGUUGCAAGGGAAAUCAAGGGCAGGGCAGUAAAAUUGAAUCAAA